AGGGCUAGAGAUGUGAGUCGUCUUUCAGGAGGCUGUACCUCAAACCUGGAGUAGGUAAGAUCUUUCAGAAACAGAGACUGGGAAAGGACCAAGGAUUGGAAGUGCUUACCCUCAAGGGCUGUCCAGAGGAAGGAAAGUAAGGAUUAAUCAGAUCAGUUAAAGAACAAACGUUCAAAAAGAAAACUCGUUUCAUUAGAAAAUGAAGGUAAUGACACCUCCCUCUGGGGAAGCUGCUUUGGAAGUACCUAAAGCUUUGGGGGACGAGUAAGGAGGGAAUGAAAACUUACAAAGAGGAAGAAAGAAAAUGAUCUUCCUGGACAGUUGAAAACUGCCUCUCCCACUUCACAAGACAGCCCGUCUUCUCGUCCUCUUGCCUUUAAAUUGUCACACUUCCCUAACUUAUUAAUACACAUCUGCUCAAAUUGUGGUUUCCGUCUCAACUGACCCAUUUGGCAGGAGUGACAGGCUGCAAAUCGUGAUCUGAGCCAACAUCAUCUGAUUUUUUACCAUUGCUAUCUCGAGCAUACACCUGUCACAGAGAACGCCAGGUGUUAAGCAACAGAUGUUCCUGGGAUUCACAAAGAAAAACAGGUAACUGCUCCUCUAUGCUUCUUAGCAUAAAAACACAAUAAUAGCCAUUAAUAUAUUUAAUAGAAGGGACCAGAGGAUCAGCCCAUUUGUGGAAUAUAUGUAUCUUGUUCCAAGCAAGUCAGUAGAGCUAAGAAUAUGGGCUUUUUUUUUUUUUUUUUUUUUUUUGAGAAUAAGUGUUAACAGUGCUCUGAAUAAAAGGUGACUCUAUGCCACUGUUGUUUCAAAGUGCAGUACAGGGACCACAUGCAUCAAAAUUACCUGGGCUGCAUAUUAAAGUACAGAUUUCUGGGCCAGUCUCAGAGAUUCAGAGUUAGAAGACCUGGCACUUAAUCAUUUCCCCAAAGCACACUGAAAAUAUUGAAUCCUAUUAGUAUCUCAUCUUUUCAUGCAAUUCUCAACACUCCCUGUUCUUUCUUCUAGACUGUUUGAAUUCUAGGUCAGACCUUCACAAAUUUCCCUCCUGCCAUGCCUCUGGAAUGAGCCCAACCAUGAGUAUUCCCAAUGCCAUCCUCUCUUCCUUCCAUCCCCAGCCCUGCACUCCCCACUUCUGCUGAAGCUGUAGGGACACAAAAUCCAAGGGUGGAGCAAAAAAUAGAGCCUAAGAAUCACCCCAACCAAGGGCCAGCAACAGGUUCUGAGUUGAAGGCAGGGUAGCUGGGAAGCCCAAAUGGUUGAAGAUGCAGGGAAGUGUAGUGAGUGUGGUGGAAAGGGGGCAGCCAAGCCAGUAUCCCAAAGCACCCUGUGGCUGCCACACACUGCAGUGAGGCCAAGUUUCAAGACCCAAGGAUGGAAAAGAUUAGAUCAUACCCUUUUGUCAUAUGUCAGUAAGAAAAUUAAAAGGAUUAUACAAUUCAGAGUGUGGUAAGAGGCUUACAACAGAAGAGAGUUUUGAGUCAAAAAAUUUUAACUACCUUAAAAUUUAAUAUAUUCCCUAUCACUCAACAGAGAUUUAGUUCUUGCCAUUUAGUCUGUUGCAUUUAAAAUGAAUUCUGUUGUGUUUUAGAAGUCAACUUGGAUUCGUUCAAUGAAUAUUUAUCAAUGCCUGCAGGGGAUACAAUGUUCAGCAAAAACUGACUUGGUCUCUGCCCUUAGAGAGUUUAUAUUCCCACAGGGAAGAGAGUGGUUGAGUAAAUAAUCACAUUAAAAAAAGCAUUAUUGCAAACAGAGGUAAGUGUUACGACAGUGAGGUUCAGGGUAUUAUAAAGAUAUAUUACAGGAGUACCUGUCCUAGUCUGGGAAGGUCGGGGGUGGUGCGGCAAGAAGGUGUCCCUGCAGAAGUGACAUGUGGUCUAAGAACUGAAGAAUGAGCAAGUUAAUCAGACUUGGUGGGAAGAGCAUUUCAGACAGAGGAAACAGCAUUUUUCCUCUGCAGUGGGUUGAAGAUGUCCACAUGAAAGCAAGCAAGUGGUCCUGAGUACAGAGAACAGAGAGAAGGAGAUUCGCAUGAGGCUGGAGCUACAGGCAGAGGUCAGACUUUGCAGGGCCUUGCUGGUCCAGCUAAGCAGACAGUUCUUUAUCUAAGAACAACGAGAACCAUGUGAAGCAGGGGAUGAUAUGGUCAGUUUGCAUUUUAAAAAGUCCUCUUAUACUGCAGUGUCAAGAACAGACGAAGAGGGCCAAGGUUGGAAGUGAGAACACCACUCAGGGGUCUAUGGAACCGGGUCAGAUGAAUGAUAACCGUGGCUUGGGCAAAGCGGGUGGCAGUGGAGAUGGGGAGAAGAAGACUGCUUUGAGACACAUUUCGGAGGUAUCAGUGACAGGACUCAAUAAUGGAUUUGAUACAGGAUUAAAGGAGAGGAGAGGGAUGAGUCAGGAAUUAUGCCUAGGUGUCUAGCUCGUACCACUAAAUGGAGGACUCUGUCCUUCCCUGAUGGAGGGAACACUUAAGAGGACUGGGUUUGGAGGGGAAAAUAAUUAUGUUAACUUUUGGAUAUGCUUAGCUUGAAGUGUUUCUGAGACAUCCGAAUGGAGAUCUGGAGGAGGGACCUGAAGUUCAGGAGUCAUCAUGCUUUGAUGGUAAUUGCACUCGUAAGCGUGGAUGAGAUCACUUAGAGAUUCCAUGUAACCCAUGCAAUACAGAGUGGUGAUUGAGGGCAGGGGUCCUGGAGUAAAACUGCCUGGAUUUGCAGCCCAGCUCGGUUUCCUCCUAACUGUGCACCCAUGAGGAAAUGGAGCAAAUACUCUAAACCAAAUUUUCCUAUCUAUAAAACAGAGACAAUAAUAUUUCCUACCUUAUAACACUGUUGGGAAUAUGAAAUGGCAUGAGGAAUUUAAAACUCUUAGCAUGGUUCUCAGAAUCUAGUAACUCUUUUAUAAACCAGUGUAGACUUUCCUUCUUCCACCCAGGGCUAAGCCUUGUGGAAAUCCAAUGUUUAAUGACUGGAUACAGAAGGAUGAAGAACAACCGCAUUACAGUCUGAAUCUGUGCUGUCCAAAUCCACCCACCAGAGAAACUAGGUCAGCAGCUGUAUCUGGAGUCUGCUGGGGUGGGUUAUCCCUUUUCAAGCAGAUAGAAAGGGAGGCAAGAGUCCUUGAAGGGAACCCAAAAUCAAAGGCCUGGUUCAAGGAAUAAAAGGAGAUAGAGAGUAGGGGACAAUAAAGCAGAGUCAGGAACAGGCUGGAAAUAGCCCAGGAACAGGUCAGAAAUGCAGGAGCGAGAGACUGGGAACUGCCUGCUAACUAUGGGAUGCCCAGAGCAUCUUACUGAAGAUAGAGGGACAAGAUGGGAGAAGCCACAGGAUUUCAUACCAUUCUUAGGUAGAUAGAUGCCUGCUGCUCAGAACCACUUACCUCUAAAAAUAAUUAAAAUUGUUCUAUACAUAAACAAUGAAAUAAUAGAAUUUGGUAGCCCUUCUAGUUUAAGAGUGUCCUGUGUUAUAUAAGUUAAGCCAUGACACAUUAUGAAAUUCUGAUACUUAUAUAUGAUGUUAAUAUGUUACUUUAAAAAACAUUCUCUAUAAUUUUCAAUUACUGUUAUUGUUUUGGGAUAUAUCAUACAGGAGGUAUUUACUUUAUCCAAAACGCAGUUCACAGCCACAUUCAAAACGUUCUAAAAAUGUUUAUCAAGAUGAUGAUAAUGACGAUGAUAAUAGUGAUAUCCUCCAUGUCAUUAUUAAUGUUGUCCAGAGAUAAUAGGAUCUGGUCAAAUGUGAUACCUGUGCUAUAAAAUAUAUAUAUAUAUAUAUAUAUAUAUAUAUAUAUAUAUAAAGUUUGUGUGUGUGUGUGUGGAGAGAGAGAGAGGAUCAUGCAAUGGCAAAAAACUUAAUUAAAAAUUGAAGCCAAAUAUAUAGCAAUCGAAUUUGCAUUAUUAAAGUAUUGAUAUUGGCUGCUGCUCCUAGAAGUCUAUUCUCAUUAUUAUGAUAGCUUCUGUUUCUCCCAUUAGAUUGAUGAAUUGCUGAAGGAAGAAAAAAGUGAAUUCGUUUCAGUAAGUGAAAAUCAUUUCAGUGAGCAUGAAUUUCUUUUGGUCCAGCCCCAAUACUAAAAUAGUCACAGGGUGAAUAUCAAAUGGUGUCUAGCUCAGGCUAUUUUCAGUCAAAGGCAAACAUGCAAUGAGGUUCAAAGGAAGAAACAUUAUUACCUGAAAUUUAACAGAGAUCUUGGGGAAUAUUUAAAUAGACUCAAUCUACUUUUAUUUAUUUAUUUAUUUUUUCCGGAGUAGAAAUGUUGUUCUGAAAGUUCCUCAGGCUGACAUGGUCUGUUUACUUAUCGAUUGCAUGUUCCUCACUGUGCCAGCAGCAUUCUAGUCCCCGGGAUCAGUUUUGAACAUAGCUUUUUAGUUUUUUAUAUUAGGACACUGUAAUGUAUUAAAGGCAGGCAGAAAGUGAAAAGUAGCUAUCUCUACACACACACCCACAGGCACACCCAUUCCUCCAUGAUAUCCUCCCCUCCCAUCUCCUUGCUGCCCUGCCUCUCUUCAGGGAUGCUCCCGUUCUAUUGGAGUUUGGGGGGCAGGGUAAAAAUCACUCAUCCAAUCCUCACCUUCCAAUUCCACGCAGUUAAGAACUUGGCAAAAGGAGCAACUGGAGAACCAGAGCACAGCAGCAGCUUUACCAGCAGUAAAGCCGGAUAGGGUAACACUGUGACGUCCAAGCAGAGGAUCAGUUUUCUGAUAGGGCCAGAAAACACAGGGCGCUUUGUUAACCUGCACGGAAGUUCAGCCCGGACCUCCUAGUUCUCUGCUCAGUAUCUAUACCUGGGGAUCCACUGGACCAUGACUUAUUACCCACCUGCAAGUGGAGAAGCAAGAACAAGUCACUUAGCUGGACCCAUCAGUGACAAGCUAACCUCUUGGAGACUUGAGAUAGGCACGUGCAGCUCCUAGGAGCACUUGGGUAUAAGAAACCAGGAGAAAAAGAACAGUGACCUAUCAACACUUAACUUUGCCCAAUAAGGAAAUGUGGCGAGUAGGUGGGACACUUUCCCUAGUCUCACCAAUCAGAAGACCAUCUUCCUCCAAGAGAAGAACUGAGGAAGGUGGGAAGGGCAGGGCUAUAGAACAUUUCCCACCAGGGUCAUUGACCAUUCCGGAAGCAUGUAGAGAAACUGUUAUUUUUCAUUAUUUCUCCAGUGGAAAUAAUACACCAAAAUACUUUUUCCUUUCAUAUCAAGCACUGGUUAUUGAUGACCCAGAAAUCCCAGGAUGGAAAAGAGUUUAUUGAGGUCAAGUUUAAUUAUUCAUGUUCACCAUUUUGGUGAUUAUUAACCCUCUUUUCAACUGGCAGCAAAGGAUUUCUGGAGAUCAGCUAAUUCAGUGUCUCUGAAGAAGCUGGUACAGUUUGUUGUAAAUGUGUUUUGCUUCACAGACAAUGGUGCUGUGAUGGAAUGGUUUGUCCAUGAGUCUGUGAAUAAAUGAAUAAAUCACACACCUGUUAAAUUGUGUGCUGCACAUAAUGAAAGGGUUGUGAUGUGGGGGUUUUUUUUUUAAAACAAAAUGUUGCUUCUCUCCAUUUGCUGCUCCUAAACAAUUUCUCAGUGUAAUGUCUUGUGUAUCUCCCCUUUUAGUGAAGCUCAAAGUACUUCAUGGCGUUCAUAUUUAUGAAUUCCAAUUCUAUUUAUUCUCCCCAUCAACUUUCAGAGUUGCAAAUAUAAACACUGCAAUUUGGCAUAUGAGCAAAUUAAAAUAUAUCAACAUUCUGAUCCUGUACUAGCUCAUACUGUAAGUCAAAUAGGAAGAAGUAGAAGUGGUAGGUCCUGAACCGGUGCCAGGGCAUGCCACUCAUCUGGGUGCCCUGUGGAAGGUGUGCAGGACCCUGGAGGGACUCCCCUAAGCCUUGGAGCCUCAGGCACCUAUUCAGGAACAUCUACAAUGGAUGAGAUCUCUACGCCAGGAACAUGGCCAUUUUGUCCACUGACCCAGGCUAAAGGAAGGAGGAAACCAUGAAGAUGCUGUGUUUAAAAACUUGUGCAUGGAUAGCUUCUGAAUCUUCAGUUAUAUCUUGUAGCUUUAAAGCAAUUUCGUCUUCAAGGCUAGGGAAAUGUAUUCCCUAUGAAGGAGGAUAUUACAUCUUUAUCUAAGCUAAGCAAUGAUUGCAACACUCAUUUGGUCCUACUUUGUACAUGUUAUCUCCCAAGAUAGGCAGGGAAAAGAAUAAAGGCUUUGGAGCCAGACAAUCUGGCUUUGAAUUCAUGCUCCACAUUCUAGUUAUUGACCUAGCUACUUAACUUACCUGAUUUGUUUAUUCAUCUUAACAUAGGCAUUUUUUAGAUUCCAAAUGGAAUAGAUUCUAAAAAAUACAACUAGUGAAUAUAACAAUAAAAAGAGGCCGACU